ensembl:misc_RNA Metazoa_SRP Metazoan signal recognition particle RNA
GCCAGGUGUGGUGGUGCACACCUGUAAUCCCAGCUACUCGGGAGGCUGAGGCAGGAGAAUUGCUUGAACCCAGGAGGCGGAGGUUGCAGUGAGCCGGGAUCGCGCCACUGCACUCCAGCCUGGGCAACAGAGUGAGACUCUGUCUCAA